rnacentral:rRNA from 1 species
CUGGCGGCAGGCCUAACACAUGCAAGUCGAGCGCUCACUUCGGUGGGAGCGGCGGACGGGUUAGUAACGCGUGGGAAUAUGGCUGGUACUAAGGAAUAGCUUUGGAAACGAAGAGUAAUACCUUAUACGCCCUUCGGGGGAAAGAUUUAUCGGUAUCGGAUUAGCCCGCGUAAGAUUAGAUAGUUGGUGGGGUAAUGGCCUACCAAGUCUACGAUCUUUAGCUGGUUUUAGAGGAUGAUCAGCAACACUGGGACUGAGACACGGCCCAGACUCCUACGGGAGGCAGCAGUGGGGAAUCUUAGACAAUGGGCGCAAGCCUGAUCUAGCCAUGCCGCGUGAGUGAAGAAGGCCUUAGGGUCGUAAAACUCUUUCGCCAGAGAUGAUAAUGACAGUAUCUGGUAAAGAAACCCCGGCUAACUCCGUGCCAGCAGCCGCGGUAAUACGGAGGGGGUUAGCGUUGUUCGGAAUUACUGGGCGUAAAGCGCACGUAGGCGGACUGGAAAGUUGGGGGUGAAAUCCCGGGGCUCAACCUCGGAACUGCCUCCAAAACUAUCAGUCUAGAGUUCGAGAGAGGUGAGUGGAAUUCCAAGUGUAGAGGUGAAAUUCGUAGAUAUUUGGAGGAACACCAGUGGCGAAGGCGGCUCGCUGGCUCGAUACUGACGCUGAGGUGCGAAAGUGUGGGGAGCAAACAGGAUUAGAUACCCUGGUAGUCCACACCGUAAACGAUGAAUGCCAGUCGUCGGGCAGUAUACUUGUCGGUGACACACCUAACGGAUUAAGCAUUCCGCCUGGGGAGUACGGUCGCAAGAUUAAAACUCAAAGGAAUUGACGGGGGCCCGCACAAGCGGUG